UUUUGGAAUAAAUUUUUAAUUAAUUCUCAGUCUGUGCAAGAACUACAGUUUUAAAAGGUGCAUAGGAGAUGAAGAUGAUCUUACGAGGGGAAGAU
rnacentral:lncRNA from 7 species